ensembl:lncRNA
GCACCUUGUGUUCAGUGGUGCAGAGUCAAACCUGUGGAACGAGUGCUGGGCUUACAGCAGAACAAUGCACUGAUUUGGACGGUCCCACGCGGAACUUCCUGACAUGUGCUGGCGUCCCAUCAGAGCCUGAUGCAGACCACAUCCUUCACCUGAAGGGACUCAUCAGCGCCGCUCUGGAUGUCUACUCCUUCAUGGUACACCAAAACUAACAAAUACACACAUAUCCCAUGAGCCUUCAAUGCUGCGGCUCCGCCGUGACGAUGUCUGUCUCGCAGCGCUCCAGUGUGGCCGGUGUGCCGGUCAUGGAUCUAUCGGGAGGCAUCAGUAUGAACGAGGAUCACGUGAUCAGAGCGUGGCUGGACAUCAAACUCACUCCUCUGCUGUCAUCCAUCUCCAGAAACUUCCUCACAUGCCUCAGCAACAGAAACUUCAGCUGCAGCGCCUAUCAGAUAGUGUAUGAAAACACACACAAGUGCAUUUAAAACACUAGAAGCAGAAUAUGAAUGAGGGCUUCAUUGUGUAUGUGUGUGUUUGAUUGUGUGUGCUUUGUUGUGUGCAUAGUGUAAAGGAGUUGAGUCAGCAUUUCUCCGGUCUGGAUCCAGUGCGACAGAAGUGGAUCUAUUCUUUCUUCAUGUACCCGUUUCUCUCUAGAAAUACAUCCUCAGGUUGUGUAGAUCCAGAGGACAGUACUGAGGACUGGCUCAUGAAGAACUUCGGAUUGUUCUCGGUCAUGGCUCAAGUGCGAGACUUCACAUCCAUCAACAUGUUUUUCAGCGGGCUGGAGGUUUUGCACCUCUUGAGUCCAGAACAGAAGGCAGAGCUACUCCUUCAUCCGGAGGAGGUGGGCUUGACAGACAGCUCCCUCGGCCUGGUGUUUCAGAGUUUGCUUUCUACUAUGUUGCCCUCUGAGGAUCCAUGGCCUUCAAACAAUGGCACAGCAUAUUAUAUGAGCACCGUUCCAUCUGCCUCACCUCAGGACCCUCUUGGAAAGGCGCUGAAUGGAUUCAUGACGGCAUUUAGUCCUGUCAGGAGUUUUGUUAGACAGUUUGUGUCCUUGACGAAGCAGCAAAACUUUAGCAGCAUGCGGAGCACCACUUUGGUGCAGGCCAUGAUCAAUCUGACGCUCGCUGAGCUUGCUGCGCCAUUCAAGCAGAAUUCCAGCCAACAGCCGGUCACUUUUGACCCCAUGAAUGUUAACGACUGGUUCACGCAUGUGGUUUCUCCCAUACUCCGGCGAUUCCUUCCUCCCGGCCAGAUAGAAAUCCACCCCAACCUCACGGCUGUCUUCCAUAACCAGUUCUACAUUGAGACGGGGAUGGGAACUGGAGCCCAGAAUGAAAGUCAGGACAUCUGCAGCGUCUUUAUUGAUAAUAGAACAUGUGGGCUGACGGACCUGGUGGAAAAUGUGGCCACUGUCCUGCACUGCGCAGCACGCUCAAACCUCACGCUCAACGAGGAGACGCUCUCAAGUGUCCUCCUGCAUCUCUCCCAGAACCUUAACGCUCUACUGCAGCAGCUCUCUAUGACCAACUUCAGUUCCCAGAUUUCCCCCUUCAGUGACAUCCUGGACCAAAUGGUUCAUGACACCUUCACAAUGAGCAACUUGCAGGACGAGUCGUUUGUGAGAUUAUGGUUCCAGAUCAAGUUAAAGCCUCUUCUCUCCACACUGACUCCAGAAUAUCUCACUUGCCUCAGUCACAAAGAGUUCAGCUGCCAGACCUUCCAGAUACUUGUUUCAGAACUCAGUGAUAACACGCUCCUGGUGUCAGAAGAAGGUGUGCAGGAUGUUUAUCAGUAUUUCAUCAGACCCUUCCUGAGCCGACAAAAUGUUUCAGGUGGCUGCCCUGCAGAGAACAGCAGCAUCUGGAUUACUCUGAAUUUUGGUGGAUUUUCACAGUUUGCCACAUUGAGGGAAAUGUACCAGCUGAACCAAGACUUCAACGCUGUGAGU